rnacentral:tmRNA from 1 species
GGGGAUGUCCGGUUUCGACAGGGUCGGAGAUCAGGCCAUUGCACGUCGAGGCGCCCGAGGCCUCGUAAACAACGGGCAAAAAACUGCAACUGCGGAUAACUCCCAGCUUGCCUACGCUGCCUAAGUCUCAGACCUCUAGGUAGCGCGUUCACCCGGACCUCCCUCCAUCGGGACCGGAUGUGGGCGUCACCAAGAUGGAGUGCUGUGAUCUAGUUCGUCGGUGCGCGAUCACUCAAGAC